rnacentral:rRNA from 1 species
GACGAACGCUGGCGGCGUGCCUAAUACAUGCAAGUAGAACGCUGAAGAGAGGAGCUUGCUCUUCUUGGAUGAGUUGCGAACGGGUGAGUAACGCGUAGGUAACCUGCCUUGUAGCGGGGGAUAACUAUUGGAAACGAUAGCUAAUACCGCAUAACAAUGGAUGACACAUGUCAUUUAUUUGAAAGGGGCAAUUGCUCCACUACAAGAUGGACCUGCGUUGUAUUAGCUAGUAGGUGAGGUAAUGGCUCACCUAGGCGACGAUACAUAGCCGACCUGAGAGGGUGAUCGGCCACACUGGGACUGAGACACGGCCCAGACUCCUACGGGAGGCAGCAGUAGGGAAUCUUCGGCAAUGGGGGCAACCCUGACCGAGCAACGCCGCGUGAGUGAAGAAGGUUUUCGGAUCGUAAAGCUCUGUUGUAAGUCAAGAACGGGUGUGAGAGUGGAAAGUUCACACUGUGACGGUAGCUUACCAGAAAGGGACGGCUAACUACGUGCCAGCAGCCGCGGUAAUACGUAGGUCCCGAGCGUUGUCCGGAUUUAUUGGGCGUAAAGCGAGCGCAGGCGGUUUGAUAAGUCUGAAGUUAAAGGCUGUGGCUCAACCAUAGUUCGCUUUGGAAACUGUCAAACUUGAGUGCAGAAGGGGAGAGUGGAAUUCCAUGUGUAGCGGUGAAAUGCGUAGAUAUAUGGAGGAACACCGGUGGCGAAAGCGGCUCUCUGGUCUGUAACUGACGCUGAGGCUCGAAAGCGUGGGGAGCGAACAGGAUUAGAUACCCUGGUAGUCCACGCCGUAAACGAUGAGUGCUAGGUGUUGGAUCCUUUCCGGGAUUCAGUGCCGCAGCUAACGCAUUAAGCACUCCGCCUGGGGAGUACGACCGCAAGGUUGAAACUCAAAGGAAUUGACGGGGGCCCGCACAAGCGGUGGAGCAUGUGGUUUAAUUCGAAGCAACGCGAAGAACCUUACCAGGUCUUGACAUCCCGAUGCUAUUUCUAGAGAUAGAAAGUUACUUCGGUACAUCGGUGACAGGUGGUGCAUGGUUGUCGUCAGCUCGUGUCGUGAGAUGUUGGGUUAAGUCCCGCAACGAGCGCAACCCCUAUUGUUAGUUGCCAUCAUUCAGUUGGGCACUCUAGCGAGACUGCCGGUAAUAAACCGGAGGAAGGUGGGGAUGACGUCAAAUCAUCAUGCCCCUUAUGACCUGGGCUACACACGUGCUACAAUGGUUGGUACAACGAGUUGCGAGUCGGUGACGGCGAGCUAAUCUCUUAAAGCCAAUCUCAGUUCGGAUUGUAGGCUGCAACUCGCCUACAUGAAGUCGGAAUCGCUAGUAAUCGCGGAUCAGCACGCCGCGGUGAAUACGUUCCCGGGCCU